rnacentral:rRNA from 1 species
GAGACAGCAGUAGCCGCGGUAAAACGUAGGGUGCAAGCGUUAAUCGGAAUUACUGGGCGUAAAGCGUGCGCAGGCGGUUAUAUAAGACAGAUGUGAAAUCCCCGGGCUCAACCUGGGAACUGCAUUUGUGACUGUAUAGCUAGAGUACGGCAGAGGGGGAUGGAAUUCCGCGUGUAGCAGUGAAAUGCGUAGAUAUGCGGAGGAACACCGAUGGCGAAGGCAAUCCCCUGGGCCUGUACUGACGCUCAUGCACGAAAGCGUGGGGAGCAAACAGGAUUAGAUACCCGGGUAGUCCCUGUCUCUUAUAA